AUGCCAUGUAUGUCCACUUCUGCAGCUUGCUGGACAGCAGGACAGCCUGCGCCAUACUUGCAUUUGGCUCGCACUUUUGAUCUUGUAGAAAGAGAAAAAGGGAAGAUCAAAACUACUGCCAUGCUUUGCAACAUGUUCAGGAGUUUGCUUGCCUUAUCACCUAAUGAUGUGCUACCUGCUGUUUAUCUAUGUACUAACAAAAUUUCUCCGGACCAUGAAAAUAUGGAACUAAACAUUGGCGGCAGUCUAGUUAUAUCUGCUAUGGAGGAGUCGCUAGGAACGAGCAAAUCUAAAAUACACGAGAUGUACAAAACUUACGGUGACCUUGGUGAUGUUGCCCAAGAAUGCCGUCAGAAUCAAACACUACUUGCUCCUCCUCGUCCACUCUCAGUUCGGGAUGUAUAUUCUACACUACGAAAGCUAAGUGCAAUAUCAGGUGGUGGGAGUGCUGGGAGGAGAAAAAUUCUUGUGUUGCAUCUUAUUCGGUCUUGCAGAGAAAUGGAAAUGAAAUUUCUUGUUAGAACGCCGGUCCGUAACUUGCGUAUUGGCGCUAUGAUGAAGACAAUCUUACCCGCUCUUGCACAUGCCGUUGUUCUUCAUGAAAAAUGUUCAACAGGUCCUGUGGUAUCCUUGGAGGAUGUAAAAUCACAAUUGCAGAGCCUUUCAACUGAAAUUACUGAGGCAUACAAUGUCAUUCCUAAUAUGGAUUUGCUCGUUCCCUCUCUUCUUUGUGAAGGCGCUACAUUUGCAGCUUCGUCCUUAGCAAUGGUACCUGGCACACCUAUACCACCUAUGCUUGCAAGAAUUACUAAUGGGGUCACUCAAGCACUGAAGUUGUUUCAUGGUAGAGCAUUUACUUGCGAGUACAAGUAUGAUGGUCAGCGCGCCCAGAUUCACAGAUUAACUGAUGGAUCUGUGCAAAUAUUUUCAAGGCAAAUGAAAGAUUCGACUUCCCAAUUUCCCGAUUUAGUUAACAUGAUCAAAGAGCUUUGCAACUCAGAGGUGGCCAGCUUUAUACUGGAUGCUGAAGUUGUGGGAAUCGAUAGGAAUAAAGGAAACAGGCUGAUGUCAUUCCAAGAAUUAUCUUCAAGAGAAAGAGGGAGCAAGAACUCCUCAAUUGCAAUUCAGAACAUAAAGGUUGACAUCUGUGUGUUUGUUUUUGAUAUUAUGUUCUGCAACGGACAAAGGCUAUUGGAUAACCCACUUCGUCAAAGGAGAAGCUACAUCCAUGACCUUUUCCAGGAGAAGCCAGGAUACUUGGAGCUAGCUCAGCAGUUAAUUGUUGAAGAAGAUGAAGCAUCGAUAGAUAAUUCUAGCACUUUACACAGAAUGAGCAGCUUUUUUGAAAAAGCAUGCCAGUCUUCUUGUGAGGGUAUAAUGUUGAAGACUCUUGAUAUUGAUGCUGGAUACUCUGCUUCCAAGCGCUGUGAUUCAUGGUUAAAGGUGAAGCGUGACUAUGUGGAAGGCCUAGGUGAUAGCCUUGACUUAGUUCCAAUCGGUGCAUGGUAUGGAAAUGGACGGAAAGCUGGAUGGUACAGCCCUUUUCUGAUGGCAUGCUACAACCCUGAAUCUGAAGAAUUUCAAAGUGUCUGUCGUGUUAUGUCUGGUUUCUCAGAUGAUUUCUAUAAGGAGAUGAAGGAGUUUUAUUCUGGUGAAAAGAUACUGCCCAAGAAACCCGUGUACUACAAAACAGAUGAGCAGCCGGAGUUGUGGUUCACUGCUGAACAAGUUUGGGAGAUCCGAGGUGCAGAUCUCACACUAUCCCCUGUCCAUCACGCGGCCAUCGGUGUCGUGCAUCCAUCGCGUGGGAUCUCAGUGAGGAUGCCGAGGCACAUACGGUGCGUUCCGGAUAGGAGCCCAGAGGAUUGCAGCACGGCCACCGACGUUGCUAGCAUGUUCAGAGCCCAAACCAGGAAGAUGGAGGUCAGCAGCGAUGGCCCGGGUGCAGGUCACCAGUGA
rnacentral:rRNA from 1 species